rnacentral:tRNA from 1 species
GCUCCGGUAGCUCAGCAGGAUAGAGCAGCUGCCUCCUAAGCAGCAGGUCGGACGUUCGAAUCGUCUCCGGGGUA